rnacentral:rRNA from 1 species
AUUGAACGCUGGCGGCAUGCUUUACACAUGCAAGUCGAACGGCAGCGCGGGCUUCGGCCUGGCGGCGAGUGGCGAACGGGUGAGUAAUGCAUCGGAACGUGCCCAGUAGUGGGGGAUAGCCCGGCGAAAGCCGGAUUAAUACCGCAUACGACCUGAGGGUGAAAGCGGGGGACCGAAAGGCCUCGCGCUAUUGGAGCGGCCGAUGUCGGAUUAGCUAGUUGGUGGGGUAAAGGCUUACCAAGGCGACGAUCCGUAGCUGGUCUGAGAGGACGACCAGCCACACUGGGACUGAGACACGGCCCAGACUCCUACGGGAGGCAGCAGUGGGGAAUUUUGGACAAUGGGGGCAACCCUGAUCCAGCCAUGCCGCGUGCGGGAAGAAGGCCUUCGGGUUGUAACCCGCUUUUGUUCGGGAAGAAAUCCUCUGGGCUAAUACCCCGGGGGGAUGACGGUACCGGAAGAAUAAGCACCGGCUAACUACGUG